GACGAACGCUGGCGGCGUGCUUAACACAUGCAAGUCGAGCGGAAAGGCCACUUCGGUGGUACUCGAGCGGCGAACGGGUGAGUAACACGUGAGUAAUCUGCCCCUGGCUUUGGGAUAGCCACCGGAAACGGUGAUUAAUACCGGAUACGACCACUUCUCGCAUGGGAGGGUGGUGGAAAGUUUUUCGGUCAGGGAUGUGCCUGCGGCCUAUCAGCUUGGUGGUGAGGUAAUGGCUCACCAUGGCUUCGACGGGUAGCCGGCCUGAGAGGGUGACCGGUAACACGGGGACGGAGACACGGGCCGGAGUCCUACGGGAGGCAGCAGUGUGGAAGAAUGGACGAUGGGCGGAAGCCUGAUCCAGCAACGCCGCGUGAGGGAUGACGGGCUUCGGGUGGUAAACCUAUUUCAGUACCGACGAAGCGCAAGUGACGGGAGGUACAGAAGAAGCACCGGCCAGCUACGUGCCAUCAGCCGCGGUAAAAC
rnacentral:rRNA from 1 species